rnacentral:rRNA from 1 species
AUUGAACGCUGGCGGAAUGCUUUACACAUGCAAGUCGAACGGCAGCACGGGGGCAGCCCUGGUGGCGAGUGGCGAACGGGUGAGUAAUACAUCGGAACGUGCCCGGUCGUGGGGGAUAACGUAGCGAAAGUUACGCUAAUACCGCAUACGAUCUGAGGAUGAAAGCGGGGGACCUUCGGGCCUCGCGCGAUCGGAGCGGCCGAUGUCAGAUUAGGUAGUUGGUGGGGUAAAGGCCUACCAAGCCGACGAUCUGUAGCUGGUCUGAGAGGACGACCAGCCACACUGGGACUGAGACACGGCCCAGACUCCUACGGGAGGCAGCAGUGGGGAAUUUUGGACAAUGGGCGCAAGCCUGAUCCAGCCAUUCCGCGUGCAGGACGAAGGCCUUCGGGUUGUAAACUGCUUUUGUACGGAACGAAAAGGCUCUGGCUAAUACCUGGGGCUCAUGACGGUACCGUAAGAUUAAGCACCGGCUAACUACGUG